rnacentral:rRNA from 1 species
GUCGAGCGGUAAGGCCCUUCGGGGUACACGAGCGGCGAACGGGUGAGUAACACGUGGGUGAUCUGCCUUGCACUUCGGGAUAAGCCUGGGAAACUGGGUCUAAUACCGGAUAUGACCCCGAAUCGCAUGGUUUGGGGUGGAAAGAUUUAUCGGUGCGAGAUGGGCCCGCGGCCUAUCAGCUUGUUGGUGAGGUAACGGCUCACCAAGGCGACGACGGGUAGCCGACCUGAGAGGGUGACCGGCCACACUGGGACUGAGACACGGCCCAGACUCCUACGGGAGGCAGCAGUGGGGAAUAUUGCACAAUGGGCGCAAGCCUGAUGCAGCGACGCCGCGUGCGGGAUGACGGCCUUCGGGUUGUAAACCGCUUUUGACAGGGACGAAGCGCAAGUGACUGUACCUGUAGAAUAAGGACCGGCCAACUACGUGCCAGCAGCCGCGGUAAUACGUAGGGUCCGAGCGUUGUCCGGAAUUACUGGGCGUAAAGAGCUUGUAGGCGGUUCGUCGCGUCGUUUGUGAAAACUUGGGGCUCAACCUUAAGCUUGCAGGCGAUACGGGCGGACUAGAGUACUUCAGGGGAGACUGGAAUUCCUGGUGUAGCGGUGAAAUGCGCAGAUAUCAGGAGGAACACCGGUGGCGAAGGCGGGUCUCUGGGAAGUAACUGACGCUGAGAAGCGAAAGCAUGGGUAGCAAACAGGAUUAGAUACCCUGGUAGUCCAUGCCGUAAACGGUGGGUACUAGGUGUGGGGCUCCUUCCACGGACUCCGUGCCGUAGCUAACGCAUUAAGUACCCCGCCUGGGGAGUACGGCCGCAAGGCUAAAACUCAAAGAAAUUGACGGGGGCCCGCACAAGCGGCGGAGCAUGUGGAUUAAUUCGAUGCAACGCGAAGAACCUUACCUGGGUUUGACAUACACCGGAAACCUGCAGAGAUGUAGGCCCCCUUGUGGUCGGUGUACAGGUGGUGCAUGGCUGUCGUCAGCUCGUGUCGUGAGAUGUUGGGUUAAGUCCCGCAACGAGCGCAACCCUUAUCUUAUGUUGCCAGCGCGUAAUGGCGGGGACUCGUGAGAGACUGCCGGGGUCAACUCGGAGGAAGGUGGGGACGACGUCAAGUCAUCAUGCCCCUUAUGUCCAGGGCUUCACACAUGCUACAAUGGCCGGUACAGAGGGCUGCGAUACCGCGAGGUGGAGCGAAUCCCUUAAAGCCGGUCUCAGUUCGGAUCGGGGUCUGCAACUCGACCCCGUGAAGUUGGAGUCGCUAGUAAUCGCAGAUCAGCAACGCUGCGGUGAAUACGUUCCCGGGCCUUGUACACACCGCCCGUCACGUCAUGAAAGUCGGUAACACCCGAAGCCGGUGGCCUAACCCCUUGU